rnacentral:rRNA from 1 species
GGGUUGUGAGGUUAAGCGACUAAGCGUACACGGUGGAUGCCCUGGCAGUCAGAGGCGAUGAAGGGCGUGCUAAUCUGCGAUAAGCGCCGGUAAGGUGAUAUGAACCGUUAUAACCGGCGAUACCCGAAUGGGGAAACCCAGUGUGACUCGUCACACUAUCAUUAACUGAAUCCAUAGGUUAAUGAGGCGAACCGGGGGAACUGAAACAUCUAAGUACCCCGAGGAAAAGAAAUCAACCGAGAUUCCCCCAGUAGCGGCGAGCGAACGGGGAGGAGCCCAGAGCCUGAAUCAGCAUGUGUGUUAGUGGAAGCGUCUGGAAAGGCGCGCGAUACAGGGUGACAGCCCCGUACACAAAAGCGCAUGUGCUGUGAGCUCGAUGAGUAGGGCGGGACACGUGGUAUCCUGUCUGAAUAUGGGGGGACCAUCCUCCAAGGCUAAAUACUCCUGACUGACCGAUAGUGAACCAGUACCGUGAGGGAAAGGCGAAAAGAACCCCGGCGAGGGGAGUGAAAAAGAACCUGAAACCGUGUACGUACAAGCAGUGGGAGCACAGGUUUACCUGUGUGACUGCGUACCUUUUGUAUAAUGGGUCAGCGACUUAUAUUCUGUAGCAAGGUUAACCGAAUAGGGGAGCCGGAGGGAAACCGAGUCUUAAUUGGGCGUUAAGUUGCAGGGUAUAGACCCGAAACCCGGUGAUCUAGCCAUGGGCAGGUUGAAGGUUGGGUAACACUAACUGGAGGACCGAACCGACUAAUGUUGAAAAAUUAGCGGAUGACCUGUGGCUGGGGGUGAAAGGCCAAUCAAACCGGGAGAUAGCUGGUUCUCCCCGAAAGCUAUUUAGGUAGCGCCUCGUGAAUUCAUCUCCGGGGGUAGAGCACUGUUUCGGCUAGGGGGCCAUCCCGGCUUACCAACCCGAUGCAAACUGCGAAUACCGGAGAAUGUUAUCACGGGAGACACACGGCGGGUGCUAACGUCCGUCGUGAAGAGGGAAACAACCCAGACCGCCAGCUAAGGUCCCAAAGUCAUGGUUAAGUGGGAAACGAUGUGGGAAGGCCCAGACAGCCAGGAUGUUGGCUUAGAAGCAGCCAUCAUUUAAAGAAAGCGUAAUAGCUCACUGGUCGAGUCGGCCUGCGCGGAAGAUGUAACGGGGCUAAACCAUGCACCGAAGCUGCGGC